rnacentral:lncRNA from 1 species
AAAUGGCGGACGGAGGAGCAGCGAGUCAAGAUGAGAGUUCAGCCGCGGCGGCAGCAGCAGCAGACUCAAGAAUGAACAAUCCGUCAGAAACCAAUAAGUCAUCUAUGGAGAGUGGAGAUGCCAGCACAGGCACACAGACCAAUGGCCUGGACUUUGAGAAGCAGCCCGUGCCUGUCGGAGGGGCCAUCUCCACAGCCCAGGCCCAGGCUUUCCUUGGGCAUCUUCACCAGGUCCAGCUCGCUGGGACAAGUUUACAGGCUGCUGCUCAAUCUUUAAAUGUACAGUCUAAAUCUAGUGAAGAGUCCGGAGAUUCGCAGCAGUCAAGCCAGCCUUCCCAGCAGCCUUCAGUGCAGUCAGCCAUUCCCCAGACUCAGCUAAUGCUGGCCGGGGGACAGAUAACUGGGCUCACACUGACACCAGCCCAGCAACAGCUUUUACUACAGCAGGCCCAGGCCCAGGCCCAGCUCCUGGCUGCUGCAGUGCAGCAACACUCCGCCAGCCAACAGCACAGUGCUGCUGGGGCCACCAUCUCAGCCUCCGCUGCCACACCCAUGACGCAGAUCCCCCUGUCUCAGCCCAUACAGAUUGCACAGGAUCUUCAACAAUUGCAACAGCUUCAGCAGCAAAAUCUCAACUUGCAACA